UUAAAUAAAUCAGUGGUUAUACUAUAUAUCCACUCAUAAAGCAUUCGACCCACCAUCUCCAUGGGUACAAAUUGGACGGUGCCAACAUAUAUAUUAUCAUAAAAUAUGCAAUGUAAGUGCUUAUCUACCACCCUCUCCCUUCUUUACACUUGGUUGUUUUGCCACUACUACAACUUUAACCAACUUUUCAUUAUUAUACCAUUUAUAUAUUCUCUUCUUUUUACUUGUUUUCCAAUCUUUUCUAGACGCUUGUUCUCCAUAUUGUUAGCAUUAUGUUUGGUGAAAAUUGAAUUCUCAAUCUUCUUAUCACUAAACUUCUUUAUUAUUCAAGAGUCUGACUCUCACUCUCACUCACUCCUAUAAAAUUUGUGUCAAGCAUAAGAAUCAUAAUAAACUUUUAUUCUAAUAUCAUGUCAAAAACAUUCAAUGUAUAAUUAUAUACUAUAAAAUGUGGGAGAGAUGAAUAACUCAACUGAUUGAGCUAAGGGUAAAGGAGUUUGAGGUCCUGGUUUAUAUCUUGACAAAGAGUAAAUAUUUAAUCUAACAAAUAAUUAUUAACAUUUGUUAUUAAAAAAAACAUAAAAAAGUGGUCUACAACUUAAAGUUUUAUUUUUUAUUUUUUUAUCCAUCCAUUAGGAUCCAAAUCUAUAUCAAUCCGCAAGUAUUUUUUCUGUAUCAAAUAUCACAAGACAACUUUUACUGCAAUUUAAACCUUAGUUCUAAUUUGGAUGUUGCGAGCAUUUUCGCAGAUUUAUCGUUCUUGUUUUUACUUAUGUUGAAUUUAUGUUUGUAUUUGAUGUAAUCUACUAAUUUGAAUAAACGAAUAUCGUCUUUUUAGUUUAAAAAAAAAUUGACCCAAAUCACGAUGCUUUUGAGAGACCUUUUGGAAAUUAAAUUUGUAUAUUGCAACUUGUUGUUUACUUUUAUUUUUGGCAACUAUUCUCUAGUCUGCUUUUUAAAUUCCCUAACAAGUUGGAAAUUGGAUAUAUGAUACAUCUUUGCCUGCUAAGAGACACACUAUAUAUGCUUGAAUGUCAGGGAAAUGAAAACCCUCUCUUUGCUGAUUUUUCUUCAUUAAAACCUAUAUAUAAGCUAAGCCAAAUAACAACCAGAAUAUGGAGGAAGAAGGAAAUGAAGAGGAUGAAGACAAAUGUGUUCAGUUCAUGAACAUUAUGCUUCUCUCCUUUUGAAGAGAGGAGCAUGAAAUUAAAAGGCAAUUCAUCUAGGCUAAGGGAAGGCCAAGCCUUUCUUCCAGGUUCCAUUCGUGAUGCUACACCGGCACUGGUGAUUACGACAGCUAAAUCAAAUCAAAUAGAGUCUGCAUUUUCAUCUUAAAUCAAUCAAUGUUUGUUUAGUGUUGUUGUAUCUCUUUCUGCUCAUUCUUUAAACUAGUUAGUUUGAAUGGUUAACUCAGAAACCAUGCAUGAUAUAUAUCUAAAUAAAUAUAAUCCAAUAGAUGUAUGUGUCUGUUACGAAGGCAAGCAGCAGAAACUGAGACGGUAACUUGUAUUGUAAUGUUUGCUCUGUUUUUGCUGCAAGCAAUGAAUAAAAUGGUAAACAGUUUGUUGUCACAUAGAAAACUUAAGUGUUUUCCACUGUCAGCAUUUACCUUGUGCUGUAAACAUGUCUGUUGUCUGUUAUUUUUGGAAUUUGUUUAAUGCGACGUGUCCAUUUGUUUCGAAGUUACAAGCUCAAGUCAAGUGCUGACAUAACAUCUUCACUCUGCAGUAAGUCACGAACAAUACGGGUACAUAACUAUAUAUCAUAUGUGAAGAUCUAUGUAAGCAGUUAUCCAUGUACUCAAAGAUUUAUGUAAGCAGUUAUACAUGUACUGCCUCCUAAUUCCUAACAAUAGUAUGACAUUAACAACACACCCAAUUAACCCAACUAACUACCAACGUGAUGUGAGGUUAAACACAGAAAUGAUACCAUUAUACAUCGCACACCUAGUGCUACCACAAGUGAAAAACAUACCAAAAAAAGAUAUUAUAUGAAGACCUUGGAAAGAAGUUCAAAAUGUGUUUUGAUAUAAUGUGAGUGUUCAUUUCUUAGUCUUAUCAGCCUAAAAAGAUAAUUAGAUGUAUUUAUGCAGAUUUUUCUGCCCAAACACCAUACAAGACAGUAUUACUUCGGCGUAUGAGGAUGCUGUGACUCAUGAAAUCCACAUGGCUAGAC
rnacentral:lncRNA from 1 species